GUGGGGAAGGAGAGGGGAGUAAAAGUCCUGGGAAUGCACCUGCAGGAAAGAGGCUAGUUUGAGGCUUGGCAGGUCCUGUGGCUGGAGAAACCUGACUGGGGAGGGAAGGUGUUGGGAAGGGAAAAGCUGUAGCAAUAAGAUGUUGAUGACCAGAAUAACACCUGCUCCACCGAAGUCUCAGAGCAGCAGUGGGAAUCACGUGACACAGUCAUUCACUCAGCAAGUGUGUGUGGAGUGCCCAUGACAUGCCAGCCCCUCUUCCAGGAGCCAGAGAUAGAGAAUGGAGUUCCAAAUCACCUGGUUUUCAUCAUUGCCUGAAAUUACUAUCAAAUUCUGGAUCAACUGAUACCAUGAAUGAGGUCUUGGACUUUGGGAAAACAACUCGGAGCCAGAGAUUCCUUAUCUGUCAAGUGGGAAAAAUGAUCUCGACAUAAGCUUUGGAGAAGAUUCAAUGAGAUAAUAAAAGUGCUUUGUAGAUUCCUCCAUGUGAGAAUUAAGGUAAAAGUAGUACGACCUGCUAAUGGGCUCUCCCAAGAGGUGCUUUCAGAUUUGGUCUUCCAAAGAAUGCAUGAAAAUCAGAGGUUGAAGAUUCUUUACGCUGAGCUCAAAUUUAGUACCUCUGGAAAGCUUUCCAAACUCUUUUCUAGUGUUGGCAUUGUAUUUUUCAAGAUCCCACUGCCUACUGCAGAUUCCCAGCUCUGACCCAGAGAUCUGAAAGAAAGGACCAUGCUCACUUCUGCAACAUGCAGCACCAUGGAAAGAAUGGGAAGCCCAUGACACAGAUUGGCAGGGAUACCACUGCACAUCUACUGCUUCAUAGUCUAGUUCUUUGCUUUAGCCUUCUCUCUGUUAUAAAUGAUGUCUAAUCCAUGUAAUGAAAGAAAAAAAAGCCUGCAAAUCUUAAGACAUCUGGUUUUUUUCUUGGUAUGAAAAUAAAAACCCUAAUGCAAGAGAGGUUCGCCUUCUGAUGUAAACAUGUUGAUUAAAUAUGUUCAAGUCUGUAAACACUUUACAAAAGCUUUCCUAACUUGAUUCAAACAUCUUUUAUCACUCUCUUGAAGGUUCUGGUCUAGCCUUGGUGAAAUACUUGCAGUUCCUCAAACUUAUCUUCUAUAUCUCUGUUCUUUCUGGGUUUUAAUGUUCCCUCUGCUGUGCCUUUUUCCUCACUAUCUCUUCUUUUUUCUGUAGCUCAUUUCUUCCGGGAAGUCUUCCUUGGUCAUCACCACAAAGGAUAGGUUAUGUGGCCUCCCAUGUGCUGCCUGUACUUACCAUCUUGUCAAUGAGGGCAGGACUCUUAUCUGUCUAUAUUUUUCAUUGCUCCAUUUUCAAUACAAAAAGUGUAUGGCAC
rnacentral:lncRNA from 10 species